rnacentral:lncRNA from 1 species
CGCAGGUCAAUCUCUUGUUAAUAUUAGAAUUGAAGUUCUAAAAUUGUUGGAUUUAGGAACGGGUGUAUCGUUUGUCCUCUAUAGGACAUCGAUUCUGCAGAUGCUUUAUAGUAACUUCUCUUUUUUUUUAACCACCAUUUGUGUAUAUUGUGAUGGGCAUGCAUAUACAAUUUUUGAAGAUUUUUAUGCAUUCAAACCUUUUUAUUUUUUUUUUACUUUUCAAACAUUUUUUAAUAUAUUAAUGGCAAAAAUGAACUUCUAAAAUUGUUGAAUUUGGUAACGGAUACAACGUUUUUCCUCUAAGAUAAACCGGUUUCGCAAGUGUUGUCCAAUAACUUCUCAUCUUUUCAACCGCACUUUGUCUAUAUUAUCUAGGGCAUGCGCGUAGACACUUUUUGAAGAAGUUGAUGAGUUCCUAACGAUUUAUAUAUAUAUACAUAUAUAUUUCCUUUUAUUCUUUUAGUAUUUUUUACUUUUAACAUAUAUUAAUGGUAAAAAUGAACCAAUAAAUUGUUUUGAUUUGGUGACAAACGUACUGUUUAUCUUCUAUAGUAAGCCGGUUCUGCAAG